UUGUUCAUGUUGGCAGCACAUACACAAAAAUUGGAAGCAUGCAGGAAAAUUAGCAUGGCUCCAAUGAAGGGAUGACAUGCAAAUCUGUGUAACAGUCAUAUUUUUG
ensembl:snRNA U6 U6 spliceosomal RNA